GGUUAAGCGACUAAGCGUACACGGUGGAUGCCCUGGCAGUCAGAGGCGAUGAAGGGCGUGCUAAUCUGCGAUAAGCGCCGGUAAGGUGAUAUGAACCGUUAUAACCGGCGAUACCCGAAUGGGGAAACCCAGUGUGACUCGUCACACUAUCAUUAACUGAAUCCAUAGGUUAAUGAGGCGAACCGGGGGAACUGAAACAUCUAAGUACCCCGAGGAAAAGAAAUCAACCGAGAUUCCCCCAGUAGCGGCGAGCGAACGGGGAGGAGCCCAGAGCCUGAAUCAGCAUGUGUGUUAGUGGAAGCGUCUGGAAAGGCGCGCGAUACAGGGUGACAGCCCCGUACACAAAAGCGCAUGUGCUGUGAGCUCGAUGAGUAGGGCGGGACACGUGGUAUCCUGUCUGAAUAUGGGGGGACCAUCCUCCAAGGCUAAAUACUCCUGACUGACCGAUAGUGAACCAGUACCGUGAGGGAAAGGCGAAAAGAACCCCGGCGAGGGGAGUGAAAAAGAACCUGAAACCGUGUACGUACAAGCAGUGGGAGCACAGGUUUACCUGUGUGACUGCGUACCUUUUGUAUAAUGGGUCAGCGACUUAUAUUCUGUAGCAAGGUUAACCGUAUAGGGGAGCCGUAGGGAAACCGAGUCUUAACCGGGCGUUAAGUUGCAGGGUAUAGACCCGAAACCCGGUGAUCUAGCCAUGGGCAGGUUGAAGGUUGGGUAACACUAACUGGAGGACCGAACCGACUAAUGUUGAAAAAUUAGCGGAUGACCUGUGGCUGGGGGUGAAAGGCCAAUCAAACCGGGAGAUAGCUGGUUCUCCCCGAAAGCUAUUUAGGUAGCGCCUCGUGAAUUCAUCUCCGGGGGUAGAGCACUGUUUCGGCUAGGGGGCCAUCCCGGCUUACCAACCCGAUGCAAACUGCGAAUACCGGAGAAUGUUAUCACGGGAGACACACGGCGGGUGCUAACGUCCGUCGUGAAGAGGGAAACAACCCAGACCGCCAGCUAAGGUCCCAAAGUCAUGGUUAAGUGGGAAACGAUGUGGGAAGGCCCAGACAGCCAGGAUGUUGGCUUAGAAGCAGCCAUCAUUUAAAGAAAGCGUAAUAGCUCACUGGUCGAGUCGGCCUGCGCGGAAGAUGUAACGGGGCUAAACCAUGCACCGAAGCUGCGGCAGCGACGCUGAUGCGUUGUUGGGUAGGGGAGCGUUCUGUAAGCCUGCGAAGGUGGCCUGUGAGGGUUGCUGGAGGUAUCAGAAGUGCGAAUGCUGACAUAAGUAACGAUAAAGCGGGUGAAAAGCCCGCUCGCCGGAAGACCAAGGGUUCCUGUCCAACGUUAAUCGGGGCAGGGUGAGUCGACCCCUAAGGCGAGGCCGAAAGGCGUAGUCGAUGGGAAACGGGUUAAUAUUCCCGUACUUGGUGUUACUGCGAAGGGGGGACGGAGAAGGCUAUGUUGGCCGGGCGACGGUUGUCCCGGUUUAAGCGUGUAGGUGUGUGUUCCAGGUAAAUCCGGUUCACUUUAACACUGAGGCGUGAUGACGAGGCACUACGGUGCUGAAGCAACAAAUGCCCUGCUUCCAGGAAAAGCCUCUAAGCAUCAGGUAACAUCAAAUCGUACCCCAAACCGACACAGGUGGUCAGGUAGAGAAUACCAAGGCGCUUGAGAGAACUCGGGUGAAGGAACUAGGCAAAAUGGUGCCGUAACUUCGGGAGAAGGCACGCUGACACGUAGGUGAAGUGAUUUACUCAUGGAGCUGAAGUCAGUCGAAGAUACCAGCUGGCUGCAACUGUUUAUUAAAAACACAGCACUGUGCAAACACGAAAGUGGACGUAUACGGUGUGACGCCUGCCCGGUGCCGGAAGGUUAAUUGAUGGGGUCAGCGCAAGCGAAGCUCCUGAUCGAAGCCCCGGUAAACGGCGGCCGUAACUAUAACGGUCCUAAGGUAGCGAAAUUCCUUGUCGGGUAAGUUCCGACCUGCACGAAUGGCGUAAUGAUGGCCAGGCUGUCUCCACCCGAGACUCAGUGAAAUUGAACUCGCUGUGAAGAUGCAGUGUACCCGCGGCAAGACGGAAAGACCCCGUGAACCUUUACUAUAGCUUGACACUGAACAUUGAGCCUUGAUGUGUAGGAUAGGUGGGAGGCUUUGAAGCGUGGACGCCAGUCUGCGUGGAGCCGACCUUGAAAUACCACCCUUUAAUGUUUGAUGUUCUAACGUGGACCCGUGAUCCGGGUUGCGGACAGUGUCUGGUGGGUAGUUUGACUGGGGCGGUCUCCUCCUAAAGAGUAACGGAGGAGCACGAAGGUUGGCUAAUCCUGGUCGGACAUCAGGAGGUUAGUGCAAUGGCAUAAGCCAGCUUGACUGCGAGCGUGACGGCGCGAGCAGGUGCGAAAGCAGGUCAUAGUGAUCCGGUGGUUCUGAAUGGAAGGGCCAUCGCUCAACGGAUAAAAGGUACUCCGGGGAUAACAGGCUGAUACCGCCCAAGAGUUCAUAUCGACGGCGGUGUUUGGCACCUCGAUGUCGGCUCAUCACAUCCUGGGGCUGAAGUAGGUCCCAAGGGUAUGGCUGUUCGCCAUUUAAAGUGGUACGCGAGCUGGGUUUAGAACGUCGUGAGACAGUUCGGUCCCUAUCUGCCGUGGGCGCUGGAGAACUGAGGGGGGCUGCUCCUAGUACGAGAGGACCGGAGUGGACGCAUCACUGGUGUUCGGGUUGUCAUGCCAAUGGCACUGCCCGGUAGCUAAAUGCGGAAGAGAUAAGUGCUGAAAGCAUCUAAGCACGAAACUUGCCCCGAGAUGAGUUCUCCCUGAGACUUAGAGUCUCCUGAAGGAACGUUGAAGACGACGACGUUGAUAGGCCGGGUGUGUAAGCGCAGCGAUGCGUUGAGCUAACCGGUACUAAUGAACCGUGAGGCUUAACCUU
rnacentral:rRNA from 1 species